UUUCUUUUAAUAUAUGAAAUAAUGUCAAUUAUUUUUUACAAAAUAUAGAGUUAGUGUUUGCAAAUAUUCGCAUAGGCAGAAUAUAAGAAUUGGUUUAUUUAUCUCAAACCCAAUCUUCGUAAGCAAAAUUAACCAAACAAUUAUAACCUCGGACUAAAAAUAAGUGGUGUAAAAGAAGGAUGGGAUUUAUAGAUUGUAACAUUUUAAGUCAAAAAAUGUGUAAAUAGCGUUUGCUCCAAAUAUAACAAUGAAAAUUCUUCAAAAAAUAUUACUUCAUUUAUUAAAUCAAUUGUUUUCCUAAGUUUUAUACGCAAUUCGCUUUUUUGGGUAGAUAAAUAUUGUAUUUACCAUAAAAAUGGUAUUAUUAAUCACACGUUGUUUAUUUUUAUUUUAUUUUUAUUUUACUCUUUAAACUCAUGGUUUUUGAGGAAUAUAAUUCACACGUAAAAAUAUAAUUUGCGGUCAACACUUAAUGAAUUGUGAAUUCUUUUCAAGGAAUUUAGAGGCAUCUCAAAUAGUGAUUUCUCAUGACUCUUAUAUUUAAAAAUAGAUGGAUGCAAUAAACAUUUGUAGAGAAUUUAUAUUACUGUCAAGAAUAUUUGCAUAAUUAAGGAUGCGUUCGCGUGACUUGAUUAUACUUCUAAAGGCGAUUUGGAUUAUGCGUUCGCGCAACUUCGAGCAAAUUUUUAUUAAAAAGAGAUUUCUCGGAGAAUAUCAUUAUUAAUUUCAUAAAAACCCGAGAUGUGAUGUUCACUACUUAAUUAUACCAAAAGGGCGAAUGUUCUUGAUUUUAUUUAAAGCAUAAUUUCGAAAAUGAUUAUUUUAAUAAAAAUAUUAUCUAUAUUAUUGUGUACACGUGCGCGUGACACAACUCCGCAUGUUUUAAAAAUAUAAUUUAUAACACGAAUAUACGUACGCGUGAUUCGAUUCAAAGAAGGGUCUUUAAAUCUAAAUAGAAGCGGUAACAAUAAAAUCAUGCAAUAAAAAUGUAGUUAACAAAUCAAAAAUAAUCAAGCCGAAUAUAAUAGUUGAGCGACCGUGCUAGAACCACGGAACUCGGGAAUGCCUAACACCUUCUCCCGGGUUAACAGAAUUCCUUAUCCGGAUUUCUGGAGCGCAGACUGUUAAAUAGACAGAGUCAUAUUCUCCUCGAUUCAGGGAUUAAAACCGGUGACUUGGGACGCCUUAAAAUUCCAAGUAGCGACUCUGAAACAAACAAACAAAUCUCGUUUCGACUGUCCUUUAAUUGGAGAAAACUCCCCACACACCCUCGCGGGCGCGGAAAAAGGAGGUGUGACAGCUCUGGCGACUCCGCUGGGGAGUUNNNNNNNNNNNNNNNNNNNNNNNNNUAAUCAAGCCGAAUAUAACAGUUGAGCGACCGUGCUAGAACCACGGAACUCGGGAAUGCCUAACACCUUCUCCCGGGUUAACAGAAUUCCUUAUCCGGAUUUCUGGUGCGCAGACUGUUAAAUAGAGUCAUAUUCUCCUCGAUUCAGGAAUUAAAAUUGGUGACUUGGGACACCUUAAAAUUCCAAGUGGCGACUCUGAAACAAACAAACAAAUCCCGUUUCGACUGUCCUUUAAUUGGAGAAAACUCCCUGCACCCUCGCGGGGGCGGAAAAAGGAGGUGCGACACUCGUGACUUUGCUCUGCACUUGACUCAUUCAAUG
rnacentral:lncRNA from 1 species